rnacentral:rRNA from 1 species
UACGUAGGGGCAAGCGUUGUCCGGAUUCAUUGGGCGUAAAGAGCGUGUAGGCGGCCAGGGUAGGUCGGUUGUGAAAACUGGAGGCUCAACCUUCAGAGGUCGACCCGAAACCAUCUGGCUAGAGUCCGGGAGAGGAGAGUGGAAUUCCUGGUGUGAGCGGUGAAAUGCGCAGAUAUCAGGAGGAACACCGGUGGCGAAGGCGGUGAUCUGGGCCGACACUGACGCUGUAGAGCGAAAGCGUGGGGAGCGAACAGG